UAUAGAGGUCCCGAGCGUUGUUCGGAUUCACUGGGCGUAAAGGGUGCGUAGGUGGUGAGGUAAGUCGGAUGUGAAAUCUCCGGGCUCAACCCGGAAAUGGCAUUGGAAACUACCUUGCUGGAGGAUUUGAGGGGGGAUUGGAAUACUUGGUGUAGCAGUGAAAUGCGUAGAUAUCAAGUGGAACACCAGUGGCGAAGGCGAAUCCCUGGAAAAUACCUGACACUGAGGCACGAAAGCUAGGGGAGCAAACAGG
rnacentral:rRNA from 1 species